UCCUCCUCGAUGCCUACAGGCACGGCGCCGCCGCGCGGCCGAUCUUCUUCCCCGGCCCUUUGCAAUUCUGUCUCCUUCCCCUCUCCAUCUGCCCAAAUCUUCUCCUGCGCCACCCUGAGCCUUCUCGGUCUCCAACCAGCUCCUGCAAUCUUCAAGCCCGCCGGCACCCAAUCCGCCUACAAUCUUCAAGCCCGCCGGCCCCAAAAGUAACCAGCGGUCGAUUCGAGUGAUCCCGCUAGGAAUCCAUGGGAUUUGAGGUAGAUUUCCUAGGAGAGCGAGUAGGAAGGGUGAUGGUGGGGUUCAUGGGGAAGAUGAAAAAGCAGAAGGUGAUCCACGGCCCGCACGCGAUGCCGAGCCACCGCGGGCCUCCUCCCCUGCCGCUCGCCGCCAUGCCAGGACGGCGUACUGGGCCUUGCCGGACGCCGAGGACAAGCGAGACAAUGGCCAUCCACCCUGGGCCAAGGUGUGUGUGCCUGAAAAUCUUUUCUCACUGUACAAUUUCUCCGUCUCGAUUCUUCCAUACGGUGUGGGCUGCCUUGGCAUAGACGGUGACUGGCUCGAGUGUGGAGGACAAGCACAGAGCGACCAACGGCGAUAACUAUGCUCGGGCAGAUGGAUUCCGCCGCGGUGGAGUUCGAGAUACGAACAGGAGAACAGUAGCUGUGAUGACUCAACAAGAUGGAAGUGCGGGACAAGGGAUGAGUGCAAUCGGCUCAAGUAAACUCCUCAUGUACACCGUCUGGCAUCAGUUCCAGUUGCGCCCGAAGCUUUCAAUCUUGCUGCUCCACUUAGUUUGCCGAAACACUGUCGGCGUGUGCUCCAUCCAAGGUACCCUUGAUCAUGGUGACAAGGAAUCGAUGCUGCAGCGGUAGGGAUCUCGUGGCCAUGGAGUGGCAGCCGCUAUGUACAUACAUAACUCCAGCGAGUCAUGGUGAGGAGACUUUGAUCUUUACAUGUUAGAUUCAGAGUGGAUAUACGUUACUACAUGUAGGCCCCAUAUGCCAUACGAGUUCCUCCAUUUUUUUAUGUUAGCUGAUGAGCUUUCUUCUCCACUCUACACAGAUUGGUCCUGCAUGAUGCAUCCAUGGCUUAGGAUAAGAAAUGACUGUUUCCAUCUAAAUGUUAUUCAUUUAUUAUUAUUUUUUUCUAAAUCAAUUGAGGAGAACAUAUAAAGAAAAAACAAGUUACUCAUCUGAUUCAUUUGCAAAAUUCAGUACUCCCUCCGUUCGAAAAUACUUGUCAUUGAAAUGAAUGUAUCUAGAUGUAUUUUAGUUCUAGAUACAUCCAUUUUCAUUCAUUUUGAUGACAAGUAUUUCCGGACGGAGGGAAUUCUUUCUUAUACUGCUCUGUUUUAGGAGAUGGAAUAAAGAGAAAAAGAAAUUUCUUAAACAUACAAAUUCAGAUUCUCAAAAGAAAAGUAAUAGUAACAAAGCAUUUUUUAUUUUCUAUAAUAGUUUUUAUUACGAUUCACAUAUUUUAUCUUCGUAGAUUCUAGAAGUUCUUAAGCUUACUAUGAAAAAACGGAAGUUUCUUUUAUAAGGUUCAGUAGCUGCUUCAUGUUGUACUGAUUAGUUUCCAUUAAUUUGAAAAAAAUUAGCUCACGUUGCUCUCUUUAGCUGCCAUUUGCACUUGAAGGUCAGGAUCGAGGCAGGAGGUGAGGAAGUGGGGAUCAGGCUGUAAGCUAGGGUUAAGAAGGCAGUUUUUAUUUUCUAUAAUAUGUUUUUAUUACGAUUCACAUAUUUUUAUCUUUGUAAAUUCUACAAGUUCUUAAGCUCACUAUGAAAAAACAGAAGUUUCUUUUAUAAGGUUCAGUAGCUACUUCAUGUUGUACUGAUUAGUUUCUAAUAAUUUGAAAAAAAAUUAGCUCACGUUGCUCUCUUUAGCUGCCAUUUGCAAUUGAAGGUCAGGAUCGAGGCAGGAGGUGAGGAAGUGGGGAUCGGGCUGUGAGCUAGGGUUAACAAGGCAGUUUUUAUUUUCUAUAAUAUGUUUUUAUUACGAUUCAAAUAAUUUAUCUUUAUAGAUUCUACAAGUUCUUAAGCUCACUAUGAAAAAACAUAAGUUUCUUUUAUAAGGUUCAGUAGCCGCUUCAUGUUGUACUGAUUAGUUUCUAUUAAUUUGAAGAAAAUUAGCUCACGUUGCUCUCUUUAGCUGCCAUUUGCACUUGAAGGUCAAGAUCGAGGCAGGAGGUGAGGAAGUGGGGUUGGGCUGUGAGCUAGGGUUAUGGGGCUGGCUGGGCCUUAGGUGGGACAGCCUGGCCAGUUGGCCCAGCUGGCUGGCUGGCUGCUGCUCAAAACAAGUUCGUUGUAUAUAGCUUUUCCCUUGCCGAUAGCUCGAUCUGAUUUUUUCAUGUCUAUGCUAUAGAAGAGCUUGUAGUAUUCAAAUGUAGUUUCUCACACAAUAGUACUGGGCGCACUCAUUGUUAAAGUCAGUUGUAGUGUAAGAAAAUCAAAGAAAACAUGUGUGAAUAAUGAAUGAGAUGACAUACCUUUUAGAUGUUCUUCAA